rnacentral:rRNA from 16 species
GCGCGGUGGUCCCACCUGACCCCAUGCCGAACUCAGAAGUGAAACGCCGUAGCGCCGAUGGUAGUGUGGGGUCUCCCCAUGUGAGAGUAGGGAACUGCCAGGC